UACGCCAUCCCAAUUCCACUAAAACUAAGAGCUUUGAACUGAACUAUACCAAAAAACACAUUUUCUGAUCACAAACAAUAUUGUCUUGAAGUAUUUAGAACUUGAGACAAAUUAAUUAAAUUUAGUUUAUUUUGGAGCACCUUUAACUUGAAAAUUUUGUAUAAACACAUAAAAACACAGUAGAAUGUUCUUAUCUCUAAUUUAGAUAAAAAAAAUGUUUUUUAAAAAAACCAACAUUCUGAGUAUAUAAAGGCGAUAUUUAAUAGAAAACGGAUGUUUUAAUAUUGACGGCUUAUAGUCUUAGAAAUAAAUUUUGAAACAACAAAUUUAAAAAUCUAAAAUGAACUUCAAAUACGUUUUCUUGUUCACCUUGGUUUUGGUAUUCCUUGUGGCACCCGGAACUGAGGGUAAAAGUGUUUUCAAGAAAAUCGGACAUGCUUUAGAAAAAGCUGGAAAGAAAACAGCACAAUUUAUUCAUGGAGCUGCUCCAGUUGCAAAAGAUGCUGCAGCAAUUGUCGGAGCUGGUGCAGCUAUAGGUGCAGUUGUUGGAUAAUAAUUGUUGAUGUCGAUGCAUGUAAUGGAAAAAUGUUGUGAAUAAAAGUUUUAACAAAG